GGGCAGCAUCUGCUGCUGGGGAAUUUGUCAGAUGCAACUAAUAAACACCAACACUCAGUUGUGGAACAAUGGCGCGUGCCAAAUGCCAGGGUGCAGAGUUUCCAAACACGUUCCGCACUGUCUGCUGUGUGCUCCAGGAACGACCCCCCCGGGGGCUCGCAGGGUCCCGGCCAGCCCGGAGGAGGGGAUCCUGGGGUUCCAAGCUCGUGUUUACUGGGCAUCUCCCAAACAGACAGCCCUGACCGAGGCCAGGAGGCCUAGGGUGACGAAGACUGCAGCUCAGAGUUGCCUCAUUUUGGAGCCAAGGGCACACGGUGGCCAGGAGCCGGUCCUCCGAUGGCUGAUCGUCUGGUUACGCUCUCCCACCCACUACCUGUGUAAACUCAGUAACCUAACCGGCUCCUCUAAGCCUCAGUUUCCUCGUUCGUAAAACAGGAAAGUGAUCCUCUCUGACAGUGCGUCAUGAUGAUCAAAACAGAUGUCUCUUGUGUCUUGGCAGGAGCGCACUGAGCCCGGUGCAGGCCGCAAGUUCAGGGUUGCGUCCUCUCUUACUUCAGGGCCCUCUGGACCCUCAGCCGGGAGGGACAGACAGCAAGGCGCUCCAGUCCUAAAAUAAAGUAGAGAAAGGAAAAUACCACUAGGAAAAUCGUAAGGAAGACGGAGGAGGAAGAUGUGGUGGAGUCGCAGUUACCCAGGAGGAAACGAAGAAGGGGCCGGAGAAACCGCCCGAUCAGGAGAAAGUAUGGGACGUGCCUACAGCUGCUGCGUGUUUUCACCACCACCAAGGGCCGCCACCACCGAAUGGACGAAUUCUCCCCUGGAAGCACACCGUCCGAUCCUAAAAGGCCUGGCUAUCAAGUAAAGGAGAUCGGCAGCACCACGUCUGGGAGGAAGGGGACUGGUGACUCCAUGACCCUGCAGUCACAGCAGGUCCAGAUCAGAGACCACGUGGACGCAGCAAUGACCGCUCCAAAUCGGGCACCGCCUCCUUCGGGGCGCACGAGACUGUAUUAGAUUUCAUUUACUACUUCUUGAAUUAUUUUGCAUCCAGUUAUGUAGAAUAAACUUUUUCCUCCCCUCA